UGGGGAAUAUUGCACAAUGGGCGCAAGCCUGAUGCAGCCAUGCCGCGUGUAUGAAGAAGGCCUUCGGGUUGUAAAGUACUUUCAGCGAGGAGGAAGGCGUUGUGGUUAAUAACCGCAGCGAUUGACGUUACUCGCAGAAGAAGCGCCGGCUAACUCCGUGCCAGCAGCCGCGGUAAUACGGAGGGUGCAAGCGUUAAUCGGAAUUACUGGGCGUAAAGCGCACGCAGGCGGUCUGUCAAGUCGGAUGUGAAAUCCCCGGGCUCAACCUGGGAACUGCAUCCGAAACUGGCAGGCUAGAGUCUUGUAGAGGGGGGUAGAAUUCCAGGUGUAGCGGUGAAAUGCGUAGAGAUCUGGAGGAAUACCGGUGGCGAAGGCGGCCCCCUGGACAAAGACUGACGCUCAGGUGCGAAAGCGUGGGGAGCAAACA
rnacentral:rRNA from 1 species